rnacentral:lncRNA from 1 species
GGGGAGAGCAUGUGAUCUCUGAGAGACCGAGUUUGCAGUGCCGUGGUGUGGCCGGAGUGGGAAGCGCCAUGAAGGCUCGUGCGGCUCACUGAGAGACGGGCUCCGCUGCGCUGCGCUGCGGCUGGGCUCGGCUCCGCUCUCGCUCUCGGGGCUUCUGACCACCCGAGAAGAAAACCACCCCGUUGCCUUUCCGCAACGCAGAGAAGCUGAGAGAGAAGUGCAGAGCAGAGCCGCGGAGAAGCCAAGAGACACUGAAAUAAAGGCUCCCACAGAGAAAGAGGAUGGAAUAUACUAGGGGACUACUGGGGAAUUAACUCCUCUUGGCUCCUAGACCCGGAAAAGACCUCAGCAUCCAUCUAACCCAACAGACUCAUGAGGAAACUGAGGUCCAAGGAUGUUAAGUGACAUCCUUGGUUACACUGACUUUUGGCAUCAAGGUAUGUUUGAACCCAGAACCUUUUACUCUAGAGCCAGUGAUCUUCCCACUAAACCACACACUCUAUUUAAGGCAGGAUAGCUCAACUUUGGUUCAUCUUUUGUUUAUCCUGAGAGACCUGUUAUCUAACCUUAGAAUGGUAUAGGGUGGAGAGAGAAGUCAAGUAAAUAGUCAGGAUAGAGAAACUGGAUAGGUCCCAGCUUCUUCUGUGCCAGGUCUUCAAAGCAGACUUUAUUUUUGUUGGUGGUGGAGGGACUUUUCAGAGAAUCAGACAUUCUCAUAUUCAAAUGUGAGAAUUUUUUAAAAUGCAAAAGCCAAAAAUAUAGAAUUUUAAAAUCAUAUCAUUUGAAAUUAUCUUUCCAAAAU